UUAAAGACAAAGAACAGAAACAGUAAUCUAAGAGUGGUUAUUAGAGAGUCUCCGUUGGUGAAAAGGAGAUAGCCGCUUAGAUGAAUUCACAUCUGUGAGUCGAUUCCUUGAAAUUGAAACUAGUAGAGAAGUCCGGGUUAGCCCGUUACAGCUAAAGGUUUAUUAUCAAACUUAGUGAGGUAGCUAGUGUGAGUUAGCUGCGAACAUGAGGUGGAACCGCGGACUUAAAAUUCGCCCUCUUA
rnacentral:ncRNA from 1 species